UUGCCUUAGUAACGGCGAGUGAAGCGGCAAAAGCUCAAAUUUGAAAUCGGCCACCAGGUCGAGUUGUAAUUUGUAGAUUGUAUCUUGAGAGCGGAUUAAAGUCUGUUGGAACACAGCGCCUUAGAGGGUGACAGCCCCGUAAAAUCUAUUCUCAUUGUAAGAUACUUUCGAAGAGUCGAGUUGUUUGGGAAUGCAGCUCUAAGUGGGAGGUAAAUUCCUUCUAAAGCUAAAUAUUGACGAGAGACCGAUAGCGAACAAGUACUGUGAAGGAAAGAUGAAAAGCACUUUGAAAAGAGAGUGAAAAAGUACGUGAAAUUGUUAAAAGGGAAGGGUAUUGAAUCAGACUUGGUGCUGUUGUUCAACUGUGUUUCGGCAUAGUGUACUCAGCAGUACUAGGCCAAGGUGGGGUGUUUGGGAGUGAAAAAGAAGUUGGAAGGUAACUCUUCGGAGUGUUAUAGCCUACUUUCAUAGCUCCUCAGGCGCCUCAGGACUGCGCUUCGGCAAGGACCUUGGCAUAAUGAUUCUAUACCGCCCGUCUUGAAACACGGACAA
rnacentral:rRNA from 1 species